UAGUAAGUUUCCAUGGUUUUAUUUUU
rnacentral:piRNA from 1 species